AACGAACGCUGGCGGCAUGCCUAACACAUGCAAGUCGAACGAGACCUUCGAGUCUAGUGGCGCACGGGUGCGUAACGCGUGGGAACCUGCCUUUAGGUUCGGAAUAACUCCCCGAAAGGGGUGCUAAUACCGGAUAAUGUCUUCGGACCAAAGAUUUAUCGCCUUUGGAUGGGCCCGCGUUGGAUUAGCUAGUUGGUAGGGUAAAAGCCUACCAAGGCGACGAUCCAUAGCUGGUCUGAGAGGAUGAUCAGCCACACUGGGACUGAGACACGGCCCAGACUCCUACGGGAGGCAGCAGUGGGGAAUAUUGGACAAUGGGCGAAAGCCUGAUCCAGCAAUGCCGCGUGAGUGAUGAAGGCCUUAGGGUUGUAAAGCUCUUUUACCCGGGAUGAUAAUGACAGUACCGGGAGAAUAAGCUCCGGCUAACUCCGUG
rnacentral:rRNA from 1 species